rfam:Pristionchus pacificus strain PS312 contig6921, whole genome shotgun sequence.
UCCGAUGUAGUCUAGUGGUUAUGAUUUGCGGCUCUCACCCGCAAGGCCCGUGUUCGAUUCCCGGCAUCGGAA